ACCAGACUCCUACGGGAGGCAGCAGUGGGGGAUAUUGCACAAUGGGGGGAACCCUGAUGCAGCGACGCCGCGUGGGUGAAGAAGCGCCUCGGCGCGUAAAGCCCUAUCGGCAGGGAAGAAGGAGGACGGUACCUGACUAAGAAGCCCCGGCUAACUACGUGCCAGCAGCCGCGGUAAUACGUAGGGGGCAAGCGUUAUCCGGAUUUACUGGGUGUAAAGGGGGCGCAGACGGCAGCGCAAGCCAGGAGUGAAAGCCCGGGGCCCAACCCCGGGACUGCUCUUGGAACUGCGCGGCUGGAGUGCAGGAGGGGCAGGCGGAAUUCCUGGUGUAGCGGUGAAAUGCGUAGAUAUCAGGAGGAACACCGGUGGCGAAGGCGGCCUGCUGGACUGCGACUGACGUUGAGGCCCGAAAGCGUGGGGAGCAAACAGGAUUAGAUACCCCUGUA
rnacentral:rRNA from 1 species